CCGAAGCGAAUACAGUCACUGUCCACAGAAAACGCAUGUAAAUCCCCUAUGCGCUUAGCCGAAGCGAGGGCAAGAAGAAGUACACUUUUGAGAGAUAGCUCCUUCAUAUCAACGGAUGCUAAAGGCUCGAAUGGUGGCUGUGAAAGAGCUCUUAACACCACCUCUAGGUCCCAGGGCGGGACUGAAGGCGGACGCGGGUGGUGACUUUUCU